UACGUAGGGUGCAAGCGUUGUCCGGAAUUAUUGGGCGUAAAGGGCUCGUAGGCGGUCCAUCACGUCGGGAGUGAAAAGCUGGGGCUUAACCCCAGUCCUGCUUCCGAUACGGGUGGACUAGAGGUAGGCAGGGGAGAACGGAAUUCCUGGUGUAGCGGUGAAAUGCGUAGAUAUCGGGAGGAACACCUGUGGCGAAGGCGGCCCCCUGGUUGGAUACUGACGCUGAGACGCGAAAGCGUGGGGAGCAAACAGG
rnacentral:rRNA from 1 species